rnacentral:rRNA from 1 species
GAUCCUGGCUCAGGACGAACGCUGGCGGCGCGCCUAACACAUGCAAGUCGAACGGAGUUUACAGACGGAAGUUUUCGGAUGGAAGCUUGUAAACUUAGUGGCGGACGGGUGAGUAACACGUGAGCAACCUGCCUAUCAGAGGGGGAUAACGGUUGGAAACGAUCGCUAAUACCGCAUGACAUAGCGGAAUCGCAUGGUUCUGUUAUCAAAGAUUUUAUCGCUGAUAGAUGGGCUCGCGUCCG